AGCCUAUUAAUUUCUUUAAUUUCUGAUAACUUGUAUAAAAACUGCACGCACAGCCUGUAUUAUAUUGCAAGACCAAGGAUU